AAAUUGAAGAGUUUGAUCAUGGCUCAGAUUGAACGCUGGCGGCAGGCCUAACACAUGCAAGUCGAACGGUAACAGGAAGCAGCUUGCUGCUUUGCUGACGAGUGGCGGACGGGUGAGUAAUGUCUGGGAAACUGCCUGAUGGAGGGGGAUAACUACUGGAAACGGUGGCUAAUACCGCAUAACGUCGCAAGACCAAAGAGGGGGACCUUCGGGCCUCUUGCCAUCAGAUGUGCCCAGAUGGGAUUAGCUUGUUGGUGAGGUAACGGCUCACCAAGGCGACGAUCCCUAGCUGGUCUGAGAGGAUGACCAGCCACACUGGAACUGAGACACGGUCCAGACUCCUACGGGAGGCAGCAGUGGGGAAUAUUGCACAAUGGGCGCAAGCCUGAUGCAGCCAUGCCGCGUGUAUGAAGAAGGCCUUCGGGUUGUAAAGUACUUUCAGCGGGGAGGAAGGUGUUGUGGUUAAUAACCGCAGCAAUUGACGUUACCCGCAGAAGAAGCACCGGCUAACUCCGUGCCAGCAGCCGCGGUAAUACGGAGGGUGCAAGCGUUAAUCGGAAUUACUGGGCGUAAAGCGCACGCAGGCGGUCUGUCAAGUCGGAUGUGAAAUCCCCGGGCUCAACCUGGGAACUGCAUUCGAAACUGGCAGGCUUGAGUCUUGUAGAGGGGGGUAGAAUUCCAGGUGUAGCGGUGAAAUGCGUAGAGAUCUGGAGGAAUACCGGUGGCGAAGGCGGCCCCCUGGACAAAGACUGACGCUCAGGUGCGAAAGCGUGGGGAGCAAACAGGAUUAGAUACCCUGGUAGUCCACGCCGUAAACGAUGUCUACUUGGAGGUUGUGCCCUUGAGGCGUGGCUUCCGGAGCUAACGCGUUAAGUAGACCGCCUGGGGAGUACGGCCGCAAGGUUAAAACUCAAAUGAAUUGACGGGGGCCCGCACAAGCGGUGGAGCAUGUGGUUUAAUUCGAUGCAACGCGAAGAACCUUACCUGGUCUUGACAUCCACAGAACUUUCCAGAGAUGGAUUGGUGCCUUCGGGAACUGUGAGACAGGUGCUGCAUGGCUGUCGUCAGCUCGUGUUGUGAAAUGUUGGGUUAAGUCCCGCAACGAGCGCAACCCUUAUCCUUUGUUGCCAGCGGUCCGGCCGGGAACUCAAAGGAGACUGCCAGUGAUAAACUGGAGGAAGGUGGGGAUGACGUCAAGUCAUCAUGGCCCUUACGACCAGGGCUACACACGUGCUACAAUGGCGCAUACAAAGAGAAGCGACCUCGCGAGAGCAAGCGGACCUCAUAAAGUGCGUCGUAGUCCGGAUUGGAGUCUGCAACUCGACUCCAUGAAGUCGGAAUCGCUAGUAAUCGUGGAUCAGAAUGCCACGGUGAAUACGUUCCCGGGCCUUGUACACACCGCCCGUCACACCAUGGGAGUGGGUUGCAAAAGAAGUAGGUAGC
rnacentral:rRNA from 1 species